UAUUGUAACAUAUUUCUAUCAAUUAUUCAAUGAUUUACAAUAUAUAAAAUGUCAAUUACUUUUUCAACUUAAUAGAAUAUGUAAUUUUUAUAGCAUAACAGUUUUCACAAAGUAUAAAUAAACAAUGUAUAAUAUAGUUUUUUUUUUAUUUAUUAGGUGGGCGAAGAUUUUAAUUCUAUCCUUAUUGGUAGUUUUUAUACACAUAGGUUGCAGGGAUAGAUUAAGGUGUGGGGGUCUGCUUAUUGGAGCUUUAUAGAUCCCUACCCCUUUUUCGUCUAGAUCCUCACCUGGGAUAUCAUUAUACAAAUCGAAAGUAUGUGAGUGUGAUAGAGCAUAUAAUUAACCAGAAAAAACAUAGCCAAACAAGUCAAAGCUGAGGUUUAAAAUGUUGUUUAAGGGCUAACAAUCUGCCUUAUUAUCCUCUAAGCUUUGUGUUAUUUUAUUUUUUACACUGAAUGUUCUGUUAUUAUUAUCUUUUAACUUUUAUAUGCAAUUAAAAAAUAAACUAUGAUGUCAUAUACAUAACAGCUAUCCAUAUUUGGUAAAGCUCACCCAUGACCAAAUGUCUCUGAUUAGGGUAUUAGUGUUAAAGCAAUAACUUUUGUCCAAUAGUAACAAGGGGCAUUGAUAGAUGUAUGCAUAACUGUUUUUAUAGAUCAACAAUGUUUCCCUAAGCAUUUGUAAAUUUAGUGUGAAGCUCAAGAAAGAUAUGGUUUUUUUUUCAUGAAAAGAAAUAGAAUUUCCAUGCAAAUCAUUACUGAGGGGGGGGGGGGGAGGACCUUUAUCUGGACUCCAGGAUCAGGUGUUUUUAAGCUCGGAAUUUCGGGAUUUAUCCUUUCGGGAUCUGGGAAUUCUUUUUUCGAAUUUCCAGAUGUCAGGAUUGAAAUUUCUUUAAAUUCGGGACCUCGGAAUUCCAUGUUUUUAAGCCUAGGAUUUCGGGAUCAGGGCUCCUCCAAUCAAACCCCCCCCCCUCAUUACUAAGAGGUAUCAAACAGAAAAGAAAAUAUUUCAUUUUAUUUGAAAAGUUUUUGUUUUAAAAAAUGUAUUGUGUACUUGUAAUUGUAACCGUUUUAUAAUUUAAAUAAUGCAUGUAUAUACAUCUGGUUUAAUUGUUCUCUUUUGAAUUUAAGUUAUUUAUUUAUAAAGUACUUAGUGUAAGUAAUUUCCAUUAAUAUGAUGCUGAGUUGGAAAUGUUAUUUACUAUAUCAUAUACAUACUUAACAGUACAAAAUUUACCCCUAGGUGGAACGUAAAUGUGAAACAUUGAACAAUUAUCAUGCUUAAUUGAAGAGCAAAAAUAUUUUAACAUUUCUGAAUUCUUUGUUAUGAUAUUCAAAGUAGUUUGUUUGAAGUGUAUUUUAACUUCGUAAAUGUAAAAAUGGCUGUAAUGUUCAUAUUAUGUUUUGUAAUGAUUAUUUGUGAUGAGAUUAUUAUAUUUAUGUAAUAAAAUU
rnacentral:lncRNA from 1 species